UGUGUGUGACAUGUGACCUUCC
rnacentral:piRNA from 1 species